GGCUCCUGACUCAUUGUUAUAAAGUGCAGAGGAAACCAGUGCUGGCUUCUUGGUAAGUCCCUUUCUGCACAAAUAAGAUGAUAAUCAUAAAAAAGAAAUGGAAUCUGGGCACUUUAAUUUUCUACCAUCUGUAAUUAUAUGCAAAUUGUGGCAAAGCCAAAAUAUGAAAUCAAGGUAGUGGGGUUUUUAAUAUGUCAUUUCUUGUGUCAUUUUUUGGACUCUGGACCUGGAGAAAAUAAUCUGUUUGCAACAGAGUAAUUCAGUUAUAUGAUGCACUCAUGCAAAAUCCCAUUUUAAGUGACAGGGCAUCAUUAUGAAGUAACCACAUGAUGUGGAUAGAGGCUGGCACAGAUUAUGGGGAACAGCCGCACUUCUUUAUUUGAGCUGUUACAUCAUGAAACAGAGUGGACCAAAAUGAAGCUGAGCCAUCUUUCAAGAGUAGAAACUUCAUGCUGACUGAAAGUGAAGAGCUGCUCAGGCAAGCUGACGGUUCCUGCAAGAUGUGUUUGGGAUCAUCAUUUCCACAACCGGGAAAUUUCUGAUGAAAUAAAAUACUUAAAAUAAUAACUACAUUUAAAAUCCCCUUCCUCCAAGGAUACUUUUAAAAUAUAUAAAAGUUCUGUAGGAGAAUAAAUCAGUAAGUCUAGAAAUACAGGGAAAAUGUUAGAAAGUUCAAGUUCCUUUAUGUUAGCAAAAAUUAGGCAAAACAUAGCUAUUCAUAACAAUGAAUAAGCCACGUACAUUGGGUCACACGCAUAUUAAAAAGAACAGGUGAGAACUAUUCUAGACUUGAACUAGUCCUAGAAAAUUAUCUGUCCAAUGACCUAGUAAUUCCAGAUAUUCAAGGAAGAUAUCUUAAAUAUCUCACUCCUCAAAGGAGCGCAGAAUAAACACAAGCUUAAGAGACAGAUGUGAAUUGUAAAUCCUGUCUCAACUGCAUUAGCAGCAAUAUGAUUUCCCUGAUUGUAACUUCUGGAAAACUAUAUUGGGUUCACUGGGCAAAGGUUACAAGUGAAAAACACCUGACCUAAUUCGUGUCUAUUUGCAUCUCUCUUCCUCCUUAUUUUCUCCCUGAAGUCAGUCUCUUUCACACCCCUAAGGGAUCAAUUAUGGCAGCAGUUGGCCUUCAGCUAGGUUGUGUUGUACAGCCUCCCACGUGGUUUCCUGUUCAUUUCAUCCAGGCCACCUUCAUUUCAGCUUCUUUCUAUUUUCUGACUCUUUAGAGAUGAAUUUAUGUUUCUGCCUGGAAUACGAAUUUCCUGAGUCAUGCUCACGUCCAGUCCUGACAGCUAAGAUAAAAGUUUGAUGCAGAAGUGGGUUGUACUCAGGCAACAGCAGAGAAAAUACCACUCCUUAAAUUGGCUUAAAUUUUACCAUUUUCAAAAAGUUGUUUAAAAGAUUACCACCUCUGAUUCCGUUUUUAAAGCUUUUGAUUAAACAAAAACCUCUCGUUAAUCCUGUAAUCAUGCUUUAUGGGAGAGAUGUAAGUGUGUUUUUUUGAGAAUGCUAUUUCAUGAAAAUUUCAGGCAUAAAAGAAAUGCUGUGGAUGUGGAUGGACCCUCCAAGAGAAGCAGGAAAUUCUCACUUCUGUAGUUUUCAUGCCAAGAUGAUGCUAGGGCAUUCUCUCUGAUUUUAAAGAACUAAAACACAACCUCCAACCUCACUAUGAACAUAGCACAAGGAAGGUUAUCCCCUGCCUAACUCCCCCCAAAAAAUCCUCAACCCCUGGAGGUUCCAGGCAUGUGGGAAGACAAUUGGAGUGUUCUUGGUGCUAAUCUUUCAUGAGGGCCCCAUCACCCACGUCAUUGCUUGGACUUUACUUAUAUAGAAGGAAAGGUACAAAGUGAGCCAAUGUUGGCCUCAGGUGAAUCUAUAAGAGGUACUCCAUGCUUAUCUAAGAAUUCUGAUCUCCUAUUUAAGCAGAAAGAAAGCAAAAGGGAACUUUUCUUCCUUUCUUCUUUAC
rnacentral:lncRNA from 1 species